GUGCCAGCCGCCGCGGUAAUACGUAGGUGGCAAGCGUUGUCCGGAUUUACUGGGCGUAAAGGGUGUGUAGGCGGUUUUUUAAGUGAGAUGUGAAAUCCCAGGGCUUAACUUUGGGGCUGCAUUUCAAACUGGAUGUCUUGAGUGCAGGAGAGGAAAGCAGAAUUCCUAGUGUAGCGGUGAAAUGCGUAGAGAUUAGGAGGAAAAACAGUGGCGAAGGCGGCUUUCUGGACUGCAACUGACGCUGAGG
rnacentral:rRNA from 1 species